rnacentral:rRNA from 1 species
UACGUAGGGUCCGAGCGUUGUCCGGAAUUAUUGGUCGUAAAGAGCUCGUAGGCGGUUUGUCACGUCUGCUGUGAAAACUGGAGGCUCAACCUCCAGCCUGCAGUGGGUACGGGCAGACUAGAGUGCGGUAGGGGAGAAUGGAAUUCCUGGUGUAGCGGUGGAAUGCGCAGAUAUCAGGAGGAACACCGAUGGCGAAGGCAGUUCUCUGGGCCGUAACUGACGCUGAGGAGCGAAAGCGUGGGGAGCGAACAGG